rnacentral:rRNA from 1 species
CCUUACCUGGUCUUGACAUCCACGGAAGUUUUCAGAGAUGAGAAUGUGCCUUCGGGAACCGUGAGACAGGUGCUGCAUGGCUGUCGUCAGCUCGUGUUGUGAAAUGUUGGGUUAAGUCCCGCAACGAGCGCAACCCUUAUCCUUUGUUGCCAGCGGUCCGGCCGGGAACUCAAAGGAGACUGCCAGUGAUAAACUGGAGGAAGGUGGGGAUGACGUCAAGUCAUCAUGGCCCUUACGACCAGGGCUACACACGUGCUACAAUGGCGCAUACAAAGAGAAGCGACCUCGCGAGAGCAAGCGGACCUCAUAAAGUGCGUCGUAGUCCGGAUUGGAGUCUGCAACUCGACUCCAUGAAGUCGGAAUCGCUAGUAAUCGUGGAUCAGAAUGCCACGGUGAAUACGUUCCCGGGCCUUGUACACACCGCCCGUCACACCAUGGGAGUGGGUUGCAAAAGAAGUAGGUAGCUUAACCUUCGGGAGGGCGCUUACCACUUUGUGAUUCAUGACUGGGGUGAAGUCGUAACAAGGUAACCGUAGGGGAACCUGC